ACAUGCAUAAAACGUGGCGUUAAUKAAUUGGAUCCCAUUAGAACUCUGUAGUUAAGCAUGCUCAGGCUAGAGUAGCACUAGGAUGGGUGACCACAUGGGAAGUCCUAGUGUUUUACAUGCC
rnacentral:rRNA from 1 species